CUGCAGCCAAUUAAGCCGACUGAGUUCCUUUCCUCAUGGGGGCCCAGUGUGCAAUGGCUGCAAACAGCAGCUUGCCUGGUAGUGAUGCAGCCUGUUUGUUGUAUGGGUUGCUCUAAGGGACAUUGGAGACAGAC
rnacentral:snoRNA from 1 species